AUAGCUGUACUGAAGAGGAAGUGAGGUCAUUGUAAACAAAGAAUAACAGGAAGUGGUGUUCAGGAAGCUCCUUUUUGCUCAGGGAAUCAUCUGUGUACAAUCUUCUUAAUCCUGUGCCAUAAAUCCACAAAACCGGCUUCAUCUUUUUACAAUAUUACAUAUUUUCCUCCAUUAAAUCCUGCCAAACACAA